rnacentral:lncRNA from 1 species
AUGCUCUUUUCUUACUUGAUUGAUUAUCAGAACGUACCUCUAGUUAUGUACCAAAACUUCAUAGCAGUAACUGCCAUAUAUUUUUCUCUGAAUGUACUGUGUAAAGCUUCUUCUAACUGCCCUUUUAUGUUUUUGCAGGAGAUCUUCCUGAUCUGUUCAGUGGUGAAGAUGAGGAGGGCAAAGUUGCAGGAGUCAGAAAAGAAGUCCCUGGGCUUGAUGGACACCACAGAAAGCUGCUGGAGGUGGUUCUUUGGUAGAGCGCAGCAGCUGUUAAAAGUAAGAGGAGGAAGAAAAGACAAAAGAAGUUAAUUUCAAACCUUAUUUGUUGCGGCUCUGCAUAAGCAUAGAUGACAUGAAAGAAAGGUAAAAUGUAGGUACUACUUAUUAGCAACAUAUACAAAAAUGACUCAGAAUGCACAUACUGAGAUUUGUUGGAGCAAACAACCAAAGGCAUGGAAUUAAACAGGUGCUAGUUCUUGUACAAUUUUUUUUUGUCUCUAGCCUGCUGAUUCCAGAAGAGAAGUGAUGCCAAUCAAUAGGUUUGGUCUGGACAAGCUUUGAUAUUUAAGGUAUACCUGUCUAUUUCCUAUCCUGUCUCCUCAGAUCUACUGUUUUGGAGAUAACUGUAUAUAAACAUUAGCUAUAAUUUAGCAGUGUCAUUUUUGACUCAUAAGGAAGAUGAUAGAGGAAUAAAUUCAUUGUUCAUAAGACUGCUGUUUGCA